rnacentral:rRNA from 1 species
GACGAACGCUGGCGGCGUGUUUAACACAUGCAAGUCGAACGGUGAAGCGCUUUCCUUUUUGGUUGGUGUGGAUGAGUGGCGAACGGGUGAGUAACACGUGAGUAACCUGCCCCCUUCUUCUGGAUAACCGCAUGAAAGUGUGGUUAAUACGGGAUAUUCUGCGCCUGCUGCAUGGUGGGUGUGGGAAAGAUUGUGCCUUUGGGUGUUUUCGGUGGGGGAUGGGCUCGCGGCCUAUCAGCUUGUUGGUGGGGUGAUGGCCUACCAAGGCGGUGACGGGUAGCCGGCCUGAGAGGGUGGACGGUCACACUGGGACUGAGACACGGCCCAGACUCCUACGGGAGGCAGCAGUGGGGAAUAUUGCACAAUGGGCGCAAGCCUGAUGCAGCGACGCCGCGUGAGGGAUGGAGGCUUCGGGUUGUGAACCACUUUCGCCAGUGAAGCAGGCC